UGGCUGGUUACAGAGAGGGUAAAAAGACAUUGGGAGAAAUACAAAUCAAUGCUUGAUGAUGCAGAAGCCAUGAAAGUAGAAAUUGAUGGAGAACUUUCUUCUAGCACUCAAGAGGAUGCUGCUGUAUCAGAGUUCUACCAUGUGAUCAUUUGAACACAAAUGGAGAUCAUGGUCAAUUAUGUACGUUGAAUGUGGAGAUGACUGCAUUAUGGACACUGUUGGGGUUAUUUGUGUUGACACUGAAGGACAUAUAGCAUCUGGAGCUUCACAUGGUGGCAUUGCACUGAAGGUCGCAGGCAGGUCUGGGCUCUGCUUGCAUGAAAGUUUUACGCUCUGUUAUGCCAGAUAGUAGCCAGCACGGUACUGAUAAAAGUGCCCGAACUCUAGUUGUUUAAGCCAAGGCUCCUAUAAUAGUGAGA